CCUACGGGUGGCAGCAGUGGGGAAUAUUGGACAAUGGGCGAAAGCCUGAUCCAGCCAUGCCGCGUGUGUGAAGAAGGCCUUUGGGUUGUAAAGCACUUUCAGUGGGGAAGAAAGCCUUGGGGCUAAUACCCUCGAGGAAGGACAUCACCCACAGAAGAAGCACCGGCUAACUCCGUGCCAGCAGCCGCGGUAAUACGGAGGGUGCGAGCGUUAAUCGGAAUUACUGGGCGUAAAGCGCGCGUAGGCGGUCUGAUAAGCCGGUUGUGAAAGCCCCGGGCUCAACCUGGGAACGGCAUCCGGAACUGUCAGGCUAGAGUGCAGGAGAGGAAGGUAGAAUUCCCGGUGUAGCGGUGAAAUGCGUAGAGAUCGGGAGGAAUACCAGUGGCGAAGGCGGCCUUCUGGACUGACACUGACGCUGAGGUGCGAAAGCGUGGGUAGCAAACAGGAUUAGAUACCCGAGUAGC
rnacentral:rRNA from 1 species